rnacentral:rRNA from 1 species
UACGAAGGGGGCUAGCGUUGCUCGGAAUCACUGGGCGUAAAGGGUGCGUAGGCGGGCCUUUAAGUCAGGGGUGAAAUCCUGGAGCUCAACUCCAGAACUGCCUUUGAUACUGGCGAUCUCGAGUCCGGGAGAGGUGAGUGGAACUGCGAGUGUAGAGGUGAAAUUCGUAGAUAUUCGCAAGAACACCAGUGGCGAAGGCGGCUCACUGGCCCGGUACUGACGCUGAGGUGCGAAAGCGUGGGGAGCAAACAGG